rnacentral:tRNA from 1 species
GUCUUUGUAGUGUAGUGGUCAGCACGCUCGACGCGUAUUCGAGAGGUCCGUGGUUCGAGUCCCGGCGAGGGCA